rnacentral:tRNA from 1 species
GGGUCCGUAGCUCAGCCUGGUAGAGCGCUUGACUCUUAAUCAAGCGGUCGCGAGUUCGAAUCUCGUCGGACCCG